AGUAACGCGUGAGGAACCUGCCUCAAAGAGGGGGAUAACUACUGGAAACGGUGGCUAAUACCGCAUAAUGUCUACGGACCAAAGCAGGGGCUCUUCGGACCUUGCACUAUCGGAUGAACCCAUAUGGGAUUAGCUAGUAGGUGGGGUAAAGGCUCACCUAGGCGACGAUCUCUAGCUGGUCUGAGAGGAUGAUCAGCCACACUGGGACUGAGACACGGCCCAG
rnacentral:rRNA from 1 species